UACAAAGUUUUCUAGGGUUCCGCAGGGAGGUUUUCAACUCUGGCUGGUCCAAGAGAAGACGCACAGCUAACCCCUGUGUCCACGGAGGGAUAAAAGCCCGGGAGAU
rnacentral:sRNA from 1 species